AUUGAACGCUGGCGGCAUGCUUUACACAUGCAAGUCGAACGGCAGCGCGGGCUUCGGCCUGGCGGCGAGUGGCGAACGGGUGAGUAAUACAUCGGAACGUGCCCAGUAGUGGGGGAUAGCUCGGCGAAAGCCGGAUUAAUACCGCAUACGACCUGAGGGUGAAAGCGGGGGAUCUUCGGACCUCGCGCUAUUGGAGCGGCCGAUGGCAGAUUAGCUAGUUGGUGGGGUAAAGGCCUACCAAGGCGACGAUCUGUAGCUGGUCUGAGAGGACGACCAGCCACACUGGGACUGAGACACGGCCCAGACUCCUAAGGGAGGCAGCAGUGGGGAAUUUUGGACAAUGGGCGAAAGCCUGAUCCAGCAAUGCCGCGUGUGUGAUGAAGGCCUUCGGGUUGUAAAGCACUUUUGGCGGGAACGAAAAGGACUGUGCCAAUACCACGGUUCGAUGACGGUACCCGAAGAAUAAGCACCGGCUAACUACGUG
rnacentral:rRNA from 1 species